UUUCAGCACUGGUGUAGGAGAUGAGAUACAAUUGAUCUGAGGCAUGUGAUUGAUCCCUGGGAAAUGGACAUAAACCUCAAUAUUUUGUGAUCUUCAGUACAGAUGGCAAUGACUGAAGGUUCUAGAAGUCAAUCAAAUAGAAGAGGAGAAAGAGGGCAGCCCUGCCUUAUACCUCUCUCUAAUGGAAAUGGGAUAACUAUCCAGGAAGUCAGAAUUGCAUCCGUUAUGAGAAAGCAUUAGUAACAAGUCAAACAACGCUGAAAACAACAAAUCAUCAGCAGAAACUGCAGCAAAGAAAGAGAGAGAUUGGAAGGACAUCAAACGUAAAUUUCAAGAGAAAUUGGAACUGGAAUAUGCCAUUAUUGAGGUGAAUGAAAAGCCAACGUGUCUGCUAUGUCAUACAAUAAUUCUUGCAAAUAAGACUGACAAUGUAAGAAGGCAUUUCUAAGGGCAGCACAGUGUUUUUGAUCCAGUGUAUCCUAUUGAAAGCAAAAAGUGAACUGAUAAAAUUGGUCAGCUGAAAUUGGAUUUUGAAAAGCAGCAGAAGGUUUUGAAGCAGUUUCUAUCUUCAUCUGAACUGGCAGUUUUGGCCAGCUAGAAAGCAGUGUGGAUAUUUGUUCGCUGCAAGAAGCCAUUCUCAGAUGGAGAUAUGGUGAGGGAAAUUAUUUUCUCUGUCAUGGAAACCUUACUGGAAAAUCAUAAUGCACAGAUGUGAAAUAACAUUUUGCAGAGCAUUCAAAAUUUGCAGCCGAGUCACCGAACAGUUGUACGUUGGUCGAAAGAUUUGUCUAUUGAUCUCAAAACCCAGUUGCGUGCUGAAAUUGAUCAGUGUUUGGCCUCCUUGGUGGCACUGGAUGUGUCAUGUGACAUCAGUGACACUGCUCAGCUAAAUUUUUCUGGAUUUGUUUUGGAACAGAAGAUUUCCAGAUUCGUGAAGAACUGCUAUCUGUAUGUGGGUUGAGAGAUUGUACCCAUGGAUCUGAUAAUAUUCAAUACUUUCAAAAGUGUCUCAAGUGAUUUCAACUUGGAUUUAGCAAAAUUGGCUUCUGUUAAAACUGAUGGUGCACCAGCUAUGAUGAGGAAAAAAUUCUGGAUUUGUCUCUCUUCUGAAAGAGCACCUGCAAUCUAAUAAAAUGAACAGCAAAUUGCUUUUCCUGCCACUGUAUUUUGCAUCAAGAAAAUCUGUGUGCCUAGAUAUCCACAACAGAUACUCUGAAAGACUUAAUGGAGACUGUGCUCUGAAUCAUCGCCAAUUUGUGGAAUUUUUGAAAGAAAUUGAACGUGAGCAUUCUGAAAUCGUCUAUUUUGCCAAUGUGUGAUGGCUAAGUUGUGGAAAGGUGCUUGAGCAGUUCCUUGCACUGCUUACUCCAGUCAGAGACUUUCUUGUCAAGAAAGGAAAGCUGGACAGUUUUUGUGCCAUUGAAGAUAAGUGGGGGCAAUUUGAUUUGCGGUUCCUGACUGAUCUCACCUGUCAUUUAUGUUAACUCAAUCUGAAACUUCAGGGAAAGGGGAAGCUGAUUUGCGAUGUGGCCCAGCACUUUCAGGAGUUCACUUCUAAGCUACAGCUCAAACGAAGACAGGAGAAUUCACUCAUGUCCCAAAUGUGCAGAAAAUUACUGGACAUAGUGAAUUUGAGUGUGAUGAACUUGAUUGUCCACAUGAUUUGAGAUGGCAAUGAAAUUCCGUCAGCCUUUUGCAGCUUUUGAGAGCUUCAUCUUGGCAUUUCAAUUCAUGAAAAACCCAUUUCAGUUUAGUGAUAGAAAUGUAGCAGUGUUAGUCUGGUGUAGCUGAAACAAA